GAAACAGUCGUCUAAUGGCAGGACGUCGGACAUCUAUAGUUUUAUUAUUACCUAAGCCAGGUCAAGUAAGACUUACUUCUGAGCUUAUUCCGAAAACGCUGGUUCGAAUCCCGCCUGUUUCA
rnacentral:tRNA from 1 species